rnacentral:rRNA from 1 species
GAAGCUGGAAUUGCUAGUAAUGGCAGGUCAGCAUACUGCCGUGAAUACGUUCCCGGGCCUUGUACACACCGCCCGUCACACCAUGAGAGUUGGAAAUACCCGAAGCCUGUGAGCUAACUUAAAGAGGCAGCAGUCGAAGGUAGAGCCAAUGAUUGGGGUGAAGUCGUAACAAGGUAAC